rnacentral:lncRNA from 1 species
GUGGAGUAUGAGCUCGAGGACGGCGGCUCACUGUCGCCGGAGAAGGAGAAGCUCAUCCUCGACGGCUACUUCGGCAUGCUCAAGAUGAUCGAGGACUACCUCGUCGCUCACCCUACCGAGUAUGCUUAAAAAUUGUCAUAAACCAAAAUAAUAUACAUCCAUCUCCGUAUUGCUGCUUCCUGAUAAUUAAAUAAUGUGAGCCACGACAAAUCCAAUCUUUUGUGGUGUUUGAUUUUGUGAGAGUGAUUUGUGUUUGAGGUUAUGUAAGAAAUAAAUCAUAAUUGUGAUCGUGUUCUAUAUGUGUGCAAAUGAACAUGUUUGCUGCUGGGAGAUCACUACAAAGGCUAAUGCAAGAACAUGCAUGUGGGUGGAUUCCAACCACUGGGUUAUGUUUAGGGUUCUGGUGCGGGGCAGGUCGGAAGAGGGCCUUGGGAAAGGCAAGUGUGGGGAUUCAAUGGGGAUGGUCAUGGGAGUGGCUGAUCGGCAGUGGGUAGCUAGGAAAGGCCACCAACCAGUUAGGUUGGGAGGCGUAGAACUGUAGAGGACGGUGGUAGUGAUGGGGUAGUGCGGGAAAGCGACGGUGGCACUAUCGGCCCUAGAGGUGGGGAAGAGGGUGGGGACGAACCAGCAAAGAAUUGGUCACCAGGAUGAGUUUGCCGAAUGAAAGGCCAUCAUGUAGCUGGUUCGCCACGUGGAGGAGGUGCUCUGUCCCAUUGGGGAACAAAGAGAUGAGAAGCUGAAGUGAUGUGUUGGGACAGGACACACUUCUCUAAAUCUGUGUAGUAUACCAAGGGGGAGGUGCAUCAUGGACUACUUGUGGACAAGUGUUUCCAAAGAUGACUGCCUUAAGCUGAUUGCCUAUGAAAAUACCCUUAUUUUUAUAGGCAGUCGAUUUAGAAGAUCACUUGUAAUAUAAGUUGGUUACAAACUCAGAGGAACAAUAAUAUUAAGACAUCACCCUUUUUCAUGUGGCUUACAAGAAGUAUACUUUCUCAGGGCUGACAAUACUUAUCGUUUUGGACAAUAACAUGGUCUACAAAAAAUAACUUUAACUAGUAUUUUUUAUUACAAUAUAUAUAGAAAUAUCAAUAAAUAUAUAAUUUUAUUGGAGCACUUUUUAAGAUAAUCUAUAUAUGUGAUCACCAUAUUUCUAAGAUAAAUACUUUAGAUGUUAGAUUUAUAGUUAAAGUUUUUAAAGUUUGACAAUAACCUUAUCAAAACGAUAAAAUUAUCAGCCUGAAGGGAGUAUAACGGGAUAAAAGACCAAGAGUCGUAAACUAAAAUGAAUAUAUUACGUGCUUAACUAAACUUAAUUUGGAUCACAUAUUUAACAUCUCCCACAAAACUACAACGUUUGGACCGAUCUUGGCUUUAAACGUUGGCAUACUGUAGAUCGGCUUAAAACGCACAGCCCAACCUGCCUGCCUGGUCCAAGUCAACGUCUAUUGAUUUUUUUUUUCUGAUUACAAUAAAAACGCAUGCUCAUACAUGCUACCAUGAUAUGGAUCCUUUGCAAUAUUACUGGUGCAGUAGUAGUCAAUGACACGUGGGAGGCUCACACAUCAGUGAUUGCUACUCCCUGUUGUACAUUCCAACAUCUGUUAGUAUUCCAACAUCUGUUAGUGUAUCCAAUUUAACUUGUAGGACGGAUCUAACAUGAAAGAGAUAGGCUCUCGGGCCUACUGGGACGACGACUAUGGAAACCCCCACGAAGCUUUCACUAAAUUUUUUUUUGUUAUAAGUAGAUGGGAAGAAGGCUUUAAUUUCAUUAGUUUCUUCAGACUCUUAUAUUAUUUCUUCCUAGAUCCGUGGAAUAACGAUAAUUCCAUAUACCUCAUUAAAUUUCUGCUACAAGCGUACUCACAUGUGUAAUUAUGAGUACUAAGAUUGCUCCAUCACCGCAUUAAUUAGUGCUACUGCUUAUUUCAUAUUUGCAUCAUUUCUAACUAAAUAAUUUCAACCUUACACGGGCGGAAGGUAAAAUUUUCAUCUUGUUGCUUUUGUAUGCUUUAGAAUUCUAUUUGCCUUCCUUUAUAUAUAUGACUAGGAGUAGUUUAUAACUUUAUAUCGCAGGAAGCUGAAGUGUGGUCACCGCUAAUAUUCAUAUUUCUCAUAAGAAUUAAAUUACCUCAACUAAUCUCUAUUUUGAAAUCAUCUCACUCGAAACAUCUAGUGCUAGCUCUUACCAGUCUAUGAUUAAUUAUAGAAUAGGAAAAACACCACUAUCAUUAUUUAUUUAGAAAGGUCACUGUAUAUGUGAUUGGUGUGGAAAUGAAUUCAACCACAAAUUAAACAAAAAUAAUUUCAUGACAAUGAGGAUGAUUUCAUUAACAGUACUGUCACGUAUAUUAGUUCUAUUUUUCCCUCCUCUCCGAAAUCAGCAUAGUAAUUCUCAAUUAAUUUUAGCAUAUGGAUGAUUAAUUUAAGUAGUAGGUUGCACUUGCUCCUUUCAAAUUAUUUACCGUUCUAGCUUUUGCCUUAAGUCACACACUUUUAUCUUUGAUCAUUAAUUUUUAAAAAUCCAUGUAGUCGUUUAACAAUACAUAAUUAUAUGAAAUUUUCUUUUGUGUGAACCUUGUAAUAAUUGGUUGUAGCUCUUAAGCAAAGGCCAGGAUGUUGCAUUCCAUUAUCUUAAAAAAAACAUAAUUAUAUGAAGGUAUUUUCCAUGGUGAAUCUUAAAAAUAUAAAUCUUAUGAUGUUAAAUUAUAUAAAUUUCUAUAAAUUAAUGAUUAAAGAUAUACAUAUUUAAUUUAGGACAAAGAAGCAUAUAAUGUUAUGUAAUUUAAAACGUGUGAGUAUAUUACAAUAAACCCAUUAACCCAAGUCGCCUAGUACAAACCAAUUAAUACGUUUACACCUCCUGUUUAGCAUUUCGUCGUUGCCAAUUUCCUGCAGCAAGAGCAUAUGAUUCCAUACAGAUUCUCCUACUAAAAACGUCACACCAUUUUAAGAAAACGUCACUAGCUGAUGAUGUGCAAACGAAUUAAAUUAAGUCAGAAUAUACGGAUAAUCCCACAAGUCAAGACAUGUGAUUCAGUGUACACCCAAGUCUUCACAAAUUUCCACAUCAGACAGGUUCAGAAAGUGCAACAAACAAUUAUUUUGCCUCAACUGAACUCUGAUGGACUGAUGAGCAGUUGCAUUGCUAACUGUAACGAAUGAUAUAGGGUGUGUUUAGUUCUUUGGUCGUAAAGUUUUUGAAGUAUACGGACACACAUUUGAAGUAUUAAAUAUAGACUAAUAACAAAAUAAAUUAUAAAUUCCGCCUGUAAACACCGAGACGAAUUUAUUAAGCCUAAUUAAUCUGUCAUUAGCAAAUGUUUACUGCAGCAUCACAUUGUCAAAUCAUGGCAUAAUUAGGCUCAAAAGAUUUGUCUCGCAAUUUACAUACAAACUGUGCAAUUGAUUUUUUUCCCUAUAUUUAGUACCCUAUGCAUGUGUCCAAACAUUUGAUGUGACGUUUUUGGCUAAAAUUUUUUGAGAUCUAAACAAGGCCAUAGAUUCAGAUUAGGAAUGAUCCCUUCUUCUUUCGCAGCCUAUAAGUACCUGCAUCUCACCUCUGAAUCACUCGCAGCAACAACUGUACAAACAGCUGGCUAGCGAGCUACCAUCAGUGACCAGUAGUGUGCAUUGUUAGCGGUAGGAAGUGUUACGGGUCGAUCGUCACUGAUGGCUCCGGUCUGCAUCUCCGACGAGCGUUCAGUUGCAGUUUCGGCGGAGCGGUUUUGGAAGGUCUUCUCGAACCCGCCCGCCAUGCCCAAGGUCUGCGCUGGUUUCUUCGACGCUGCUGAGGUUGAGGGGGAUGGUGGGCCGGGCACCGUUGUCAUUCUGAAGUUUAACCCUGGUAUGCAGACCUAAAAUAUUGGCUCUUCUAUUAUUCGUGCAUCUGUAAUAGGUACACGCAGCCUAGAUAGAGACUAGGGUGUAUUGUUAAUACCUUGCAAAUGUUUUCGCAAUAUGAUUUCGAGGGUUUAAAUUAUAGCGUUAUUUAUGCAUAUAUGGGCACACUUUCAGUAGUAAUUUAGUGAGGUUCACGGAUUUAUCAUUGGUGUGUUUGUGUGGUGGUAUGUGUGCGUAUGUUUUGUAUUUCAUAUCAUUGGCAAAAAAUUAUAUACAAGCGGCAUUUUACAAUGUCUUCUACUGGCGGUAGAAUCAAUCUAGACUAUUUAUUUUUCUAUUCCAAUGAGUUAUAUCUAUUUAUACCACCAUAUCAAUUAUCGGUAGUACGAUAAUUUCUCCGCUAACGGUAGAACUUAUAAAUUAACGCUUAAUUAAUAUCAUUUAUACCGGUGAUAAUACCGUUAGUAUAAUACUAUAGUAGAAACCAGUGUAAAUGUACUAAUUACAUGAUAGUAACAAAUAUUACAAUUAUUUGCAGCUGUUAAGCAAGGGUUAUACAAGACACGUGUGGUGGCACGUGACAACGCUUCUCAUUUUCUCAAGUCAGAGGUGCUGGAGGUGGCGCUUGGCAGGGCAGGCAAGCUCAAGACACACUUGACGGAGACGAAGCUUGAGGCCACCGGUGCCGGCUCCUGUAUGGCCAAGCUCAGGGUGGAGUGCGAGCCUGAAGACGGUGGCUCGUUGUCGCCGGAGAAGCAGAAGAUAAUCCUCGAGGGCUACUUCGGCAUGCUCAAGAUGAUUGAGAACUACCUUGUGGCUCACCCUGCCGAGUACGCCUAAAAAUAAGUGUUACAAACCAACAUAAUGCAUUCAUCGCGUGCAUGAUAAUUAAAUAACGUUCGUGAGCCACAACAAAUCCAAUUUCUUGUGGUGUUUGAUUUCAUGUGGGUGGUUGUGUGUGAAAGAUAACUUGUGUUAUUUCAGUAGUUGUCAUAGUGUUGUCUGUGUGUGUGUGUGUGUGUGUGAUAUUUUCAGUGUUGGUGAGAUCAUUUUGUUUCAUAAGUGAAUAAAGGAAUACACAGGUGAAUGCGGUGUGUUUGGUGGAGCAUUUAACUAUUUGUCACUUUUACAUUUGGCAUUUAACUAUUUGCCACCGCUAUCUCAAUAACACGUGGGUCCACAUGUGUAUAUGACAUGUGGGUUCAGUGUCAAAUAGUUAAAUAUCUCGUGUUUGAUGGCUAUAGAUCAGUGUAAAUGUCACUAAGAAAUAUUUGUGCAGUCCCUUAUUUUGCUACGGAUGUCUCACUACCACAAUGCAAUAAGGCUAAAUGGACAAAAUUGGGUAAAAUUAGGAUAGUAUAUAGAGAAAAAAUAUUACAUGGCCAUGAGUUUUUUUCUCAAUCCAUUAGCACUCAGUUUUUGUUUUGAUUUCCUAUGUACUAUUCUGUUAAUUGAGCAUAAGUUGACCGUUAGAUUUUUAAAAUGACUAAAUUGACCCUAUCUUAUACUUGUGUGCAACCUAUGCGAAGAACAUAAAUCUCAGUGUGAUUUCUUUCUUCACAAUAAAAUCAAAUGCAGUAGAACUAUUUGAUGCCAAAUUUGAAAGAAAAAGAAAAUAAACUUUCAACCAAAUUGAAAAGAAUUUGAUUAAAUACUUACAUUUUAUUUGGGUUUAAAUUUUGGUGAAAAUGUUGUCCGAGUUUCAUCAAAUUUGAUUUGAGUUUUUUUUAAAAAAAAUUCAGUUCUGAAUUUGUGGUAAAAUAAUUCUACCCUAUUUAAUUAUUUUACAAAUGAGUAUUUUUUUCACAUUAAUUAAGAAUUGUUUUUUCCCAAUAAGCUAGCAUAUAGGUACGAGAUAGAGGUAAUAUAGCCAAUUUGAAGAAAAAUUACCAGUCAACUCACGAAAUGGUACAUAGUAGAUCAAAAUAAAAACUCAAGGACUUAAUAGCAAAAUUCAAGAAAGUAGAAGCAAUUGAGGAACAAUUGGGCACAAGGAAUUUACUCCCUUUGGUAACUGCUAGUACUGCUGAUGAAAAGGGAAGCUGAAGCCGACACAAUUAAUACACAGUUACCCCCUCCGUUUGAAGAAAAACCAAUCCUAGCUACGAAUUUGGACAGGUUUGUCUUUUUUUUUUGGACGGAGUAGUACAUAUAAUCACGACAUGUGUUGAAUUUUCGAUUCCGAUGCAACGAGAGUAGCUCAGAUACUUAGCUUAGGUCAUCCCCAACCCAAAAACUAUCAAAUAGUUUCCAUACUUGCCAUGUCAUAUAGACACUAUAUAUAGAAACUAUAUAUCCAAUGGAUGGUGUCUUCAAAUUAAAUUAUCAUCCAAACACCCCUCUUUUUUCUCCUUUUAUCCACCUAUCCCCUUUUUUUGUUCUUGGUUCUUUGUUUCUUGCAUGCGAAAUGGUUUCUUCAUUAACUCUCUUGCCACAUUAGAUUUUUGCUUAUGUGGCAAUGCAUUAAAUGCUACGGACACUAGAUUAUAUGGAUGGUUGGGGAUGGCCUUAUAAGAACCAAUUAAUCACACAUCUGAUCUGUGGAAAGUAUAUAUUGUUGUUAGAAAAGCCUCGUCCUCAAGAUGAUCAUGGUGUGGAAAGUAUUAUUGGCACUUCUUUUUUCCUCAUCAUCUAUCUGGACAAAUUUUUUGUAUAGAUCCUUGAUUAUUCUGUUGUUUUUUAUGAAAAAUAUGAUGGUAUAAAUACACACGGUCCUCAAAAAUAUACUUGCACCUAUCUAUAGCUAUUCUAAUUAUGAAAAUAAGAUUAAAAUACUUCAUUUAUUCUUUUGAGCAUUGUAUUGUGAAAGGGAAAUCAUCUUAUUUGUCUCUCGCCUACUUUUGCACUGCUGCACAAUGCAUAAGGUAAAUUUGGACAAUAUAUAAAGUGCAACUUCAGCGUAAAUCAAAUGUGACUUUUAGUUUACAGCAGCCUAGAUGCAUUCCUAUAAGCUUAUCUAAUCAUAAUUUUCUGUUUCAUAUUAAAAAUGAUCCAUAAGAAAGUAUAUAUAGUUAGUUUAUUCAACCUUAAGAUGUACAUUUUUUUGUUUUACCUAAUGAAAAAGAAAGAACAUUGAUGUGAACAAACUAAGAAUAUAUACAGCAUUAGAUCUAUAGAGAAAAAAUGACUGAAAAUUGAUGAAAAAACAAUUAACUGAUAAAGGGACCCUCCCAUUGGAUUAUGUUGAUUGAAAUUAAUUACAAUCAUAAAAUGCAAAUGCAAAUUGAUCCUGGUAUAGAUUUUUCUACCAACAUUAUAUAAUAAUUAUAAAUGAUACAAUUAUAUGCAGCCGUGAAUGUAGGGAGCUCAUACAAGACCAAAUUGGUGGCAUGUGACAAGGCGACACACAAAUUGGUGCUUGAGGCUGAGAGCAAGGUAGCAAAGCUCAAGUCGCACUUGAAGGAGCGGUGAUUGCUCAUCCUGCGUGGUCAAGCUUAAGGUGGAGUACGAGCUCGAAGAUGGCGGCUCACUACUGCCAGAGUGGGAGGAGAUGAUCGUUGAUAGUUAUUUUGGCGUGCUCCAGAUCGAUGGUCGAGGCGUACCUCAUCGCUCAUCCUGCAGAAUAUGCCUGAAAAAAAAAUGUCACGAUCCUUCCAUGGUGUUACUACUGCGGGUAUAAUUAAAUGGUAAUUUUAUCAUCCUUAAAAAAAUACCGAGAGAUACCACAUAUUAUUGUGUAAAUUUAAUACCUUAAUUUUGUGCUAUGUAUGGUAUUUAAAUGUACCGUAAAAUUUCUCCUAAUUAAAAUAAUGUCUGCCAACAAGCUCACUAGGAACAUAAUUCUUGUGAUGCUUGAGAGUUAUUAUUCUGUGUUUCAAGUUGUGUAACACUUUGAGUAAUUCUGAUUGGGUUAGUUGUAUGUGCACAUGUAUAUAUGCUCAGUGUUGGUGAGAUCUCAUUUUGCUUGAUGAGUGAAGAAUUAAAAAUACACAUAGGAAUGUGGUAUGUUUUUGUUCAAUUUUGAAAUAUUUACUUCCUUGCUAAUUUAAUUAAAUGAAACUCCUGUCCGUUUGUUUCAAAAAAAAAAGAUCGGAAUUCAUUCCAGGUGUUUCUUCUCCACUUUCUUGCCAAGCACUGUUUUAUGAUUGAUAGAUAAUUAAAAUGUAUACACAAUAUUAUUCUUUAAGAUUAUAGUUUUAUAACUUCACAAUUAGCUUCCACAAUUAGUAAAAAUGGCAUAACUGUGAUGCACCCAAUAAUUAGAGGGGAAAAUACAAUAUAUAUAAAGAAAAGAAUAGAAGAGCUUUAGAAUUAGUGGGUUUUGGGUGCUUUGGUUGCCUGAUCAUUUGUAAUACCCGUUCGCAUUUUUUGCUUGAAGGGAGGACAAAUGCGUAAGGGAGUAUUACAGUUUAGGUGUGAUUCAACGGAUUAAGUUAGGACUUAAACCAUUUUCGAGCCAAUUUAUUGGCACCCGCUAAGCACCAAUUGUGCCCCUCUUUAGUCUAGUGGUCGCCAAGCCGCUGGAAAGUCCUUGAAUUAUGGUAUUUCCGCAGUUCUCAAGUCUCAGCUUGUCAAUAUGAUAAUAAUGGUAUGGAAUGAUUUCAAAAUUGAAUUCCUUCUAUAUGAAUUUCAGUUUUUUAGGUAAUAUAAGUGAAAACUCCUAAUAACUACAUCGAAUUAAGGAUGCACACAACCAUUGCUCUCACAUGAUCAGUUUAGAUCCCCAUCGUGUGGCUUAUUCAAAGAAUAAGCCAGACGACAUAUUUGCAAACGAAAAAUAAUUUAUGAGUAAAACUUUGAUAUACAUGUUCUUAGCGGUCUAAAAGCAAAGGCUAAAAAAUAAACUUCGAUGAAAAAAACUUCAAAAUCAACUCCAAAUUUAGCGUUAAAAAUUCAAAUUUUGGCUGAUAAGCAUAAGUAUAAGCGAAAAGAUGAGUUUGUUAAUUGCUUAAAAAGGAAAAGCAAAAAAAAUAUAAAAAAAUCGCACGACAAACAAAGUUGUUAUGCACAAAAGAUGACUUUAUGGUCCUCGAGGAGGCAUCCUAUUUUUUCUUAGAUAAAAUUUGGUAUACAUCAGUAUCAUGAGGUAUUAAACCUCGUACGUAAAAAAAAUCUUUCAGUACCUCUCAAUGAUUGUAAAAUUUCUCUUUCCGUAGAACACCCACCUACUAGAAAAACCCGACGAGCUAGCCGUGCAACGGCACUCAACAAUAAUUCAACCGAGGAACAACCGUGCUAGAUCCAUCCGAGUUGGCAAGGUAGAAAUUUGCACUGAGGCGAACACCAAAGGCGAUGUCGUACAGGACGUACGUACGGUCGUGACAGCCGGGUCUAGAUACUAAGAUCGAUCCCAGAAAGACCGGAAGAAUAGUUUCAUUCUUUAUAGAUAAUGGAUUAAAUAACCCGGCCUUUACAUCCAAGUGGAUGUAUACAACCACUGAAGAAUAGUUUCAUAACAUCCUGAAUGUCAGCACUUCUAGAUGUCUGAUGUCCUAGUCAAACCACGCGGUCUCCAGUUCUCCACAUUCCAACUACGAAAUUCCACAUCAGAUAAGCUCAGCAUUCAGCUUAGAAGCCAAUUUCCCUUUUUUUAUUUUUUAGGAAACAUGAUGCACCGGGUGUGAAUCGUGAUGCACUUCAAAAUAGUUCUGGCGAAUAGAGUCAGGAGUUUGUUCUUUGAUACAGCAGCAAUUAGAUGGCUCAGCAACUUAAAAAUCGAUUAACCAGAACUAUAGUUUGGUUUUGAUGAAAUACUUUACUGUACUUGACACCCCAGGAAGCAAGCACUCCAUAGUGUGAGCUUCAGGAGUUCAGAGUUUCAGAAGCUGAGCUAAUUGAUAGCUAGUAUUACUCUACUGACACUGGAAAAGCUGGAGCCGACACGAUUAAUACACAGUUAUAGAUAAUCACGACAUGCCUUGAAUCUCAAAAACCGACUAAUCACAUCUAACUUUUGUGCAAAGUAUGGUGUUGGAAAGUCCUUAGAGAUCUUACUGCAAGAAUUUCAUGGACAUAACCGAAAUCAUCUCAAAGACCCCUCCAACCUUAUCUGAGAGAGUCAGACAUUCUAGAUCACUGGUCAAACUCUGAACUGAUCGAUCAUCUGCAUAAAUAAAUUGAAACACUGAAUUUUCCACAGGUCAAACCAUGUGAUCUCCAUAGCCCCAAUUUCCUGAUACUAAAACCCUGAAUUCCACAUAUCAAACUAAACUACAAAUCAACCGGAGAAAAGCCGGAUGCGGUCCUCUUUCACCUAUAAGUAUCCCCAUUCUGCAGCUCACCUUUGAAGCAGAAGCAAAAGCAGCUGAGCUGAGCUAGCUAUAGCCAUCACAGCAAGUGUCAGGUGGAAACUAGCUUAGAUAGAGAUGGCUCCGGCCUUCGUCUCCGACGAGCGCGCCGUCGCGGUGUCGGUGGAGAGGCUGUGGAAGGUCUGCUUGGACGUGCACUCCCUGCCCAAGGUCUGCGCCGGAUUCAUCGACGCCGUCGAGGUCGAGGGGAAUGGCGGGCCGGGCACCAUCCACAUCAUGAAGCUUAACCCUGGUAGGUCCCGAAUACAUAUUGGCACUUUUUUCCGCUUCUUACACUUGCAUUUGUUAUUUUAAGGGGGUUUUUCGAAGAUAACUUUUACGGUAAGUAUACUGUUAGUAUAAACAAUCCAAAGAUGUAAAUUGAUUUUACUACCAACUUAAAUCGAUUGCAGUAUAAAAUUAAGGGGGGGGGGGUAAAAUGGUCUUUCUCUAUGCUAGAUAAUAUCUCCCACUUAAGUUAUCUAGCAUGGGUUAAUAGUUAUCUACUUCCUCCGUUUCAAAUUAUAAGAUGUUUUGACUUUCGUCAAAGUCAAAUUGCUUCAGUUUUAACUAAGUUUAUAGACAAAUAUAGUAAUAUUUACAUUACUAAAUUAGUUUAUUAAAUUAAUAAUUAAAUAUAUUUUUAUAAUAAAUUUAUCUUGGAUCAAAAAUAUUACUAAUUUUUUCUAUAAAAUUAGUCAAACUUGAAGCAGCUUGACUUUGACCAAAGUCAAAACAUCUUACAACCUGAAAUGGAGGGAGUAGCAUCUAUUCAACCUAUCUGGUCAGUAAUCCAAUCCGAUGCACGGACAAUUAGGAUUACUAUCAGAGUGAAGAUAUAACACAAAAUAACUAUGGGUCAUAAUAGUUGUAGUUUUAUAAAAUUUAUUAUGCUUUUAUAACUUUCUAAUAAAAAUAGGAUGACAUUACUAGUCAAUAAAAACAUACUUGUACCUAACCACUAUUGAGUAUGAAGAAUGAAAAAGAGUAAAAUAUAUAGCUAGUUUUUAAACUUGUCCAGAGAUGUUAUCAGGAUCUAUGAACUUGCAAAAGACGCAUUUGAGAUCAUAAUCUUGGUUUAAUGAACCACGUGAGUCCAAAGUGUAGCUGAUAGGGCAAAGCCCUGAACAUCCACCAUGGCAGAACAUUUUUAUCUAGCCCGCUCCACUACAGUAAAAUCGAUCAAUCAGUCGUGUGUGCCACAUUAAGAGAUGUGUAUAUGUCGAUGUCAAAUGACAAUUGCAAUUAAUAACUAUUACAAACCAUAUGCAGCCGCGGACGCAGGGAGCGUAUACAAGACCAAAAUAGUGGUGUGCGACAGCGCAACUCACGUGCUAAAGGUUGAGGUGUUGGAGGUUAAGAGCAGGGUGGGCAACCUCAAGUCGCACUCGACGGAGACGAAGCUCGAGGCCACCGGCGACGCCACCUGCGUGGCCAAGCUCACGGUGGAGUACGAGCUCGAAGACGGCGCCUCGCUGUCGCCGGAGCAGGAGAAGAUGAUCGUCGACGGCUACUUCAGCAUGCUCCAGAUGAUCGAGGCGUACCUCGUCGCUCACCCUGCUGAGUACGCCUAAAAAUAUUGUGGUCAUGUUACUGUGGCGUGGUCGCAUGUGAGAAGAAUUAUUCUGUGUUUAAGGUUAUGUAAUAAUUUCAGUAUUGUGUUUUUGCUUCACGAGUGAAUAAAAUACACAUAAGAAUGUGUUGUGUUUGAUGGUUAAUAUAUAUGGAAGAUUGUGGAUCAGUGUAAAAGUAGAUUAGAAAUAUAAUAAUAUUUGUGAGUUUAUUUGAUUACGGAGGUUAUCUGUACUUUUUAUAAAGUUAUAACACUAAGUCCAAAGCUCAACAUGCAUCCAUGCCACAUCAUCACCCACCAGCAAUUAUUACAUAUUUAACGUCAUGCAACCAUACAACAUCAUCUACAACUUUACAAAUCAACAUGCAAACAUAUCCAAUCAUCAUCCUUCACAUCAUUUGCAUAAUAUUUUAACAAAUCUAUCUAUCAUUUUUAUAAUAUUUGAUAUAUACUUAUCAAUAUAUUUCACAUUAAAAUAUGGGUAUCAUUUGUUUGUUUCAUGAUAAUUACUAAUAAACCUUGAUGUUUCAUUAUUUUUUCCUUUUUACUCCUUGUUUGAUUGUCGAAAAAAAUAUAUUCAAAAUUAGUUAGUAAUUUCCACAAUAAAGCACGGGGAAUCACCUAGUACUAAUAAUACCAUAUGCCAAUGCAUUUGGUUUGCAUGCUGUGCCUCUGAAAUUUUGUAAUCUGUUUGGUAAUAAAUAUGUAUUAUUUGAUUUUUUUUUUCAGUUUUUAGUUCUGAUUUUAACCAUAAAUUAUUAUUAGAAUAAGUUUAUGAGAUUAUGAAAGUAUAUAUUUUUAAGACAUGUCUACAUAUAUCAUUUUUACAUUUUUAAACUAAUUAUUUUAAAAUUUUAUUAAUGGUUAAAGAUUCAAAGUUUGUUUAGAAACUCAAAUGACAUGUAUUUAAUUUCGCCUUAAUGUAUUUAAGCUCUCUAAUUGUGAUACCAACCAGAUCUCAAACCGUGGUACUUAGAAAAAAAGGCCCCUCCCUUAUGAGACAAAAUUGGUUAACACCUGUUAAGACACGGCCUAUGAUAACAUGCGUGGUCCCCGAAUAGUACACAAAGAAAUGCAUACACAUGUACAGAUCGAUAAUUAAUCACCCCGUGCAUUCAAUCUUAUUGGUUCAUUGACAUAAGCAGCAAGUAGCUGUGCUAGAUCAGCUAAUUAAAAAUCAAUUACACGCAACUCCACCCUCCUACCUCCUUUUGUCAUUUGUUAUUUAUGUUUGAAGCCGUUAACUUGUUAAUAUAUUUUAAUUAUUCGUCCUAUUUAAAAAAUAAAUGUUAUGUAAAUAUCAAAAUAUAAGCAAUGUAAACCAAAUUACACAACAAAAUAAAUAGUAAUUUUAUAACUUUUUUUAAAAAAGAUGAAUGGUCAGACAUAUAUUGAAAAGUCAACCACGUCAAAAGAAAAUGGAGGGAGUAGUUUGGUUGGUGAGCAAGAAGUCCAUCAUGUGAACUUGAGCGUUAGCGAUUGGCACAAUAUCACACACCUCAAUGCACAGCAAACACAAUAAAUCGAGAAGAACUUCUCGAUGCUGCAACAAGAACAACGCAGAUAAAAAAACAUGUGAAUUUUAAAAGGAGUAUACUUUUAAAAGCGUGACAAAUAAUUUGUUCAAACAAGAACAGCGAAUACCAAGAACGACGUCAUACAAGACUGACGUGCGGUCGUGUAUUUUGUUCAUCCUAUAAUAAACUGUGUCUAUAUUUAUAAUACUAUAAUAUAUCGUAUUCAGUACGAUUAAUUUAUUCUGGACGGAGGGAGGGAGUAGUCCCCAUCUCAAAACCCUUGUACUGUACCUAUCAUGAAUUUCAGCACUUCUAGAUGGCCUAGUCAGCUCUGGGCUGAAUCCUUAUCGAUCAGCUACAGAACAAACAACAAACCCCUGAAUUUUCCACAGGUCAAGCCAUGUGAUGUGAUCUCCAUAGUCCAACUUCAUGGCCAACCCACAAUUCUGAAUUCCACAUGAUCAGACAAAGUUCAGCUAUCAAUUCUAGAAGCCGAUUUCUUGGAAUGAUGGCGUUCCAAGCUAAUUUCCAGCUGCAUGCUGAUGAAACCCUUCUCUUGCUACCUAUAGGUAUAUAUACACCAUGCUACUGCUCACCAUUGAAGCAACAAGCCUAGCUUACAUAUAUAGCCAUCAGUGGUCAGUGGUGUGAUCAGUUGGAAUCUAGCUAGCUAGAAGGUAUAGAGAUAUUAGUGAUGGCCCCGGCCUUUCUCUCCGACGAGCUCGCCGUCACGGUGUUGGCGGAGAGGCUGUAGAAGGUGUUCAUGGACGCGUCCGCCAUGCCCAAGGUCUGUGCCGGCUUCGUCGACGACAUUGUGGUUGAGGGGAAUGGCGGUCCAGGCACCAUCUACACCAUGAAGCUUAACCCCGGUCGGUUUCGAACAAUAGCAUUGGCACAUUUUCACUUCGUACACCUGUAAUUUUGGAAAAGAAAUUUUGGGAGGUGGGGGUGAGGAGCUUAAUUUUCAUCCUUUAGGCUAAGCUCGGGAGUGAGGGUUGGGAACCUUCACUUUCAGCAUGCAAAAUGAAGCGGCAGUUAGCGCAUGACUAAUUAAGUUUUAGCUAAAAUAAGCAUUGAAAUAGAUUAAUAUGAUUUUCUAAAACAACUUUCAUAUAGAUAUUUUUUUGUAAAAACAAAAUUUAGAAGUUUGAUAAGCAUACCUGCGAAAAACGAGGUAGAAGUUUGGAAGGAAAGUUUAGAACACAGCCUAGUUUUUUUUUUUUUUUGGAUCUUUCUACUAACCUAGCCUCAUCUGUCACUCGGUAUCUUGAGAUAAGUUGAGAUCUUAACUAAGAUAGUGUUUGGGAAGAAGUGACUAAAGUUUAGUCUCUCACACAAAAAUUUUAAUCCCUCCUAUAGGGACUUAUGUUCUUGUGAGAGGGACUAAAGUUUAGUCCCUCCUUCCCAAACACCACCUAAUUAAGAGGGUUAAAAUUACAGCUGUGCAAGGCGAAUUGAUUGGGUAUGUAUAACAGAAAAUACUCCCUCCGUUUCAAAAUGUUUGACACCGCUGAUUUUUUCGUAUGUGUUUGAUCAUUUGUCUUAUUCAAAAAAUUUAAGUAAUUAUUUAUUAUUUUCGUAUCAUUUGACUCAUUGUUAAAUAUACUUUCAUGUGCACAUAUAGUUUUACAUAUUUCACAAUUUUUUUUUGAAUAAGACGAACGGUCAAACAUGUGCUAAAAAGUCAAAGGUGUCAAAUAUUUUGAAACGGAGGGAGUAUUCCUAUUAUAUGCAGAUGCGGGAGUCGGGAAUACAUACAAGACCCGAGUGGCGGUGUGUGACAAUGCAGCACGCGUGCUAAAGUCAGAGGUGCUGGAGGCAGAAAGCAAGGUGGGCAAGCUCAAGUCGCACUCGACGGAGACGAAGCUGGAGGGCACCGGCGAUGGCUCCUGCGUGGCCAAGCUCAAGGUGGAGUACGAGCUCGCCGACGGCAGCUCGCUGUCGCCGGAGCAGGAGAAGACGAUGGUCGACGGCUACUUCGGCAUGCUCAAGAUGAUGGAGGCGUACCUCGCCGCUCACCCUGCCGAAUUCGCCUGAAAACUGUCUCAACCAACACAAUCCAUGGCUGAUAAUUAAAUAAUGCGAGCUCCAAUUUUCUCGUGGCGUUUGAUUUUUUUGAGAGCAGUUAAUAAUUUGUGAUAUUGUGUUGUAUGUGCCUAGCUAGCUAUGUAUGCCGUACGUACGAGCAUGUACUUUUACUUCGAUAAUGAAUAAAGAGACAAACAUCUGAACAUGUGUUGUGGUUGAAUUUGGAGGCUAAAAUAUUAUUGCAACAUCAAUGCAACUAUCGGUACAUAUCUUAUUGACAUCAUGCCUAUAUGACAAAAGACGACCAAUAGCAUAUUAGGUAAGAUUACAAUGACAGCUAGAAGAUUCCCCGCGCGUGCACGUUGCCACGGUGAUUUUGGUGGUAAAAGAAGUAUGACAUGAAAUGUAUAUAUAAUGUACGUUGAAAACGUUGAGAGCCAAAACACCAUGUGGAUUGUUAUGGAUGGAAUUAACAUGCAGAAUGUAGAGGUAAGAUCCAUCUGCGACCAAAUUUCACAAGUUUACACGGCAGGAACUUAUAUAUGAUGUACAUAGAACUAACAAAAAUAAGUAUAUAAAAGAGAACUUUAUGCAAGAUGCUAGUGGUAACUCCACCCAACUGAAUUGAAGUAAGGAUGCACACACAGCUAUUGCUCUAUCAUGCUCAACUAAAAAGUGAAAGAUAGAAAGUAAAGAUGUACUCCGUUUCAAUUUCGAUUUGCUUGUCGUUCUAACAAAUCUCAUACUAAACUAGAUGCAUGGUAUAACAAGGCAAAAUUUGCUAUAGAACAUCUAAAAAAUAUGAAAUUAGUUAGGAGACACCGCAAGAAUGCGUUUUUGCUGUAGGACACAAAAAAAAAAUAGUAAUUAGCUGUUGGACACCCGCGAGAUUAUUUUAUUAUAUCCGAAAGAAUUGGAGAGAGAAAUAGUUGUGUAAGUACGGUUCUACCCUUUGAUUCUUUUUCUUUUCUUCUUUCUUCCUUAUUCUUUUCUCCCUCUCACAUUAUCUCUUUCCCUCUCUGCUCUCAACCACCGCCACGUUCUCUCCUUCCGCUCCUCCCGGGAGGACGAGGUCGGGCGCCUCAUCCGCUCCAUCUUCACCGAGAGCGGCGGCGGCACCGCCGCCUUCAACCUCGCCCGCCGCCGCCGCCUCGCCCGUCGUCGCGGCGCUCGCCCGCCGCCGUCGCCAUUUCUGAUCCGUUCUUGUUUCAGAGCUUGCACCCGGCGGCGAAGUACCACGACGCUGCGAUGGCGAUCGGCGGGUGUCCGAUCUACGUCAGCGACAAGCCGGGGAACCACAACUUAGAACUGCUUAGGAAGCUCGUACUACCCAGCGGCUCCGGGCUUCGGGUGCGCCUCCCCGGCCGCCCCACCCGCGAAUGCCUCUUCUCCGACCAGGCGCGCGACGGCGCGAGGUAACAAAAAAGAUUUCAAAAUUAUAGUAAAUUUGUGCGAAAUGGAUUCUAAUUUCAUGAGAAUUUGGGUUAAUUUUGAUGAAAUUUUGCACCUUGCUCAAGAUAUGGAAUCUGAACAAGUGCGGCGGCAUUGUCGGGGUGUUUAAUUGCCAGGGCGCCGGGUGGUGCAGGGUGGCCAAGAAGACGCAUGUGCACGAUGCGGCGCCCGGAACGCUCACCGGCGCCGUGCGCGCUGACGACGUCGACGCCAUUGCGCAGGUCGCCGAUGAUGGCGACGGCGACGACGGCUGGGAUGGGGAGGCCGUGGCGUACAUGCAACGGGCGCGUGAGCUGGUCCGGCUGCCGUGCGACGCCGUACUGCCGGUGACGCUCGGGGCGCUCGAUUACGAGGUGUUCCACGUCUGCCCCGUCCGCGCUAUCGCAAUGGCGCCGGGAGGCACCGUCGUUGCGUUCGCGCCCGUCGGGCUCCUUGACACCGUCGACGCCACCGCCGCCGCCGUGGCGCUCAGGGUGCAUGGUUGCGACCAUUUUGGCGCCUACUUCUCGCGGAGGCCGGCGAGGUGCACGCUCGAUGGCGCCGACGUGGGGUUCACCUACGACGGCGACACGAGGACAUGCUCACAGAGGGACCCGCGUCGGAUUAAUUUGAGCCAAGGGAAAACUGGUCUUUAAUGAUUAUUUCUCUCUCCUAUUCCUCCAAAAAUAAUAAAAUAAUCUCACCGGUGUCCAGCAGCUAAUUAACAGUUUUUUGUGAUGCCCUACAGCAAAUACACGUUCUUACGACAUCCCCUAGUUAAUUACACGUUUUUCGGACGUCCUGUAGCAAAUUUUGCCGUAUAACAAUUACAUUACUAUCCUCAUCUUUCCAAACCAAGGGUAGGAAGUAGAGAACUUCUCUAAAAGUGUUUUGGAAUGUAAGAACAUAUUUUGACACAAGUUUUGAAUGCUGGAAUGAUAAGCAAUUUGAAACGGAGAGAUUUAUCAAAGUUAGGACGUACGUGCUCUGGUACUAGCCGUACGAUGACGCCCAAUAAUUCAACCGAAGAACAACCACACCUAUCGAUCCGAGGUGGCAAGGUGGAAAUUUUGCGUUAAAGCUCAAUUUGUCCCUGGUGACCGUGACAUCAGAUUGAGUAUCACUGAGUCUACCAAUUGAAGGUUGUAUAUAUCCGAGGUGGCACAGUGAAAAUUGAUACGCUAUGAAACCCAACAAGAUUGAAAGAAAUUCAUAAUUGAAUUAAUACCUACCGAUAAAGGGUAUUUGUUUAGACCCAUCUCAGAGCAUGACAUGUAGUCGUACCUAUCAUCUAAAAGCAUUUAAAUUAGGGUCUGUUCGAUUUAGAUUAUUAAACAAAUUAUUAUCGUUGAUUACCUACCAAUUGAUUAUGGAAAUAAAUUAAAUACUUUAAAAUUAAACUUAAUAAAUAGUUUAAAACAAGUGAUCAAAGCAGUAGAAUAAAGUUUGUUGAGAGAUUUUUUGAAACAUAGAACAAAUAAUCAGUUCCAAUAAUCCGGCGAAUAAUCUGAGAAUCAGUGUUCUAACUGUAAACAAAGACCAUGAUCUCAUAUAUGAUUAUUCUCCCAACCGUCCUAUAUAUGCCCAGGUCUCAAAUGUCAGCUCUUCUAGAUGGAACCAAAGAAAAAAACCCUUAAUUUCCACAGGUCAAGCCACAUGUGAUCCCCAAUAUUCCUACUUCCAGAACCCUAGAAUUCCACACAAAGUUCAGCAUAUGCAACCAAUGGAGCUGAGUUCCCAACUGCAACAUUUAUUCUGGAUGAUGUCUUCUUCUCCUCUUGCCACCCUAUAAAUAGCCCAUGCUACUGCUCACCUUUGAAGCACAAGCACAAGCACAAGCAGCUCUAGCUAGCUACAGGCAUCAGUGGUCAGUAGAGUGAUCAGUUGCAACUAGCUAGCUAGUUAGAUUAUAUCUUCAGUGAUGGCUCCGGCCUGCGUCUCCGACGAGCACGCCGUCGCGGUGUCGGCGGAGCGGCUGUGGAAGGCGUUCAUGGACGCGUCCACUUUGCCCAAGGCCUGCGCCGGCUUGGUCGACGACAUUGCGGUCGAGGGGAACGGUGGUCCGGGCACCAUCUACACCAUGAAGCUUAACCCUGGUAGGUCCAGAAAGAUCUAAGUACUUGUAUCUACUGAUUGUACUUAUUAUCUCGGCCGAUUUUUUUUCUUAAAUUUUUGUGAAUUUGGUCAAAAUUUAGUCAAAUUCAGUUAAAUUAUUUUCAAAUUUCUGAAAAAAAAAUCAGUCCAAAAAGUGCCGAAAAUCCCGAAAUUUUGGUUCUACCAAAAUGGCUUUCGGCGAAAUCGAAAGUGAAAAUCCUGUCAACAACAAAAAGAAUUUGAUUAAGACAGUUAAAAUUACUAUAGUGCAGUAUAAAAUUGAUUGGGUAUAUAAUAACAACAAAUGUUAAAAUUAUAUGCAGCCGCGGGUGUGGGAAGCACAUACAAGACCCGGGUGGCGGUGUGCGACGCCGCAAGUCAUGUCCUAAAGUCGGAUGUGCUCGAGGCAGAAAGCAAGGUGGGGAAGCUCAAGUCACACUCGACGGAGACGAAGCUUGAGGCCACCGGCGAUGGCUCCUGUGUGGCCAAGCUCAAGGUGGAGUACGAGCUCGAGGACGGCAGCUCACUGUCGCCGGAGAAGGAGAAGGACAUCGUGGAUGGCUACUAUGGCAUGCUCAAGAUGAUCGAGGACUACCUCGUCGCUCACCCUGCCGAAUACGCCUAAGAUGAAGAGGAAUACUGCCUCUAUCCAGUAUAUCCCACCUAGAGUGAGUGAUAAUUAAAUAAUGAGAGCC